rnacentral:tRNA from 4 species
UGGGCCCAUGGUCUAGUUGGUCAUGACGUCACCCUCACACGGUGGAGGUCCUGGGUUCAAAUCCCAGUGGGCCCAU